UUAUUACAUUACACUUUUAAUUUUUAAAAUCUUAAUUUACCAAAACUUUUGAAUUAUUACAAUCAGGACUCACAAUCUAAUUUAGUUAAGUAAAAAUUAAUAUAUUAUUAAUGUGAAAGUAAUAUUACAGUGUUACGAUUGAUGAUGUGAUAGUAAUUGCAAUGUUAUGUCAUUUUACAUCAACGAUAUGUUUAUAUUUAUUCAACAAAAUUGAAUUAUGAGAUUUGAUUGUAAUAGUUUAUAAUGUUUGAAUUAGAAGUUACAAUAAAUUAAAGGUUUGUAAAUUAAAAUAUUAAUAUAUUAUUGAUGUGAAAGUAAUGUUGUAAUACUAUGAUUAAUAAUAUGGUGAUAAUUAAAAUGUCAUAUCACUUUACAUCGGCAGUACAUUCAUAGUUAUCAAUUAAAUUGAAUUGUGAGUUUUAACGACAAUAAUUUAU
rnacentral:lncRNA from 1 species